GGGCGGAUGGCUGAGCGGUCGAAAGCACCAGUCUUGAAAACUGGCGUAGGUUUUUUGCCUACCGCGGGUUCGAAUCCCGCUCCGCCCGCCA
rnacentral:tRNA from 1 species